rnacentral:rRNA from 1 species
UACGGAGGGUGCAAGCGUUAUCCGGAUUCACUGGGUUUAAAGGGUGCGUAGGAGGGCAGGUAAGUCAGUGGUGAAAUCCCCGAGCUUAACUUGGGAACUGCCAUUGAUACUAUCAGUCUUGAAUAUUGUGGAGGUCAGCGGAAUAUGUCAUGUAGCGGUGAAAUGCUUAGAGAUGACAUAGAACACCAAUUGCGAAGGCAGCUGGCUACACAUAUAUUGACACUGAGGCUCGAAAGCGUGGGGAUCAAACAGG